ACGAACGCUGGCGGCGUGCUUAACACAUGCAAGUCGAACGGAAAGGCCCUGCUUUUGUGGGGUGCUCGAGUGGCGAACGGGUGAGUAACACGUGAGUAACCUGCCCUUGACUUUGGGAUAACUUCAGGAAACUGGGGCUAAUACCGGAUAGGAGCUCCUGCUGCAUGGUGGGGGUUGGAAAGUUUCGGCGGUUGGGGAUGGACUCGCGGCUUAUCAGCUUGUUGGUGGGGUAGUGGCUUACCAAGGCUUUGACGGGUAGCCGGCCUGAGGGGGGGACCGGCCACAUUGGGACUGAGAUACGGCCCAGACUCCUACGGGAGGCAGCAGUGGGGAAUAUUGCACAAUGGGCGGAAGCCUGAUGCAGCAACGCCGCGUGCGGGAUGACGGCCUUCGGGUUGUAAACCGCUUUCGCCUGUGACGAAGCGUGAGUGACGGUAAUGGGUAAAGAAGCACCGGCUAACUACGUG
rnacentral:rRNA from 1 species